GUUGACCUCGGAUCAGGUAGGGAUACCCCG
rnacentral:rRNA from 1 species